UACGAAGGGGGCUAGCGUUGCUCGGAAUCACUGGGCGUGAAGGGUGCGUAGGCGGGUUUUUAAGUCAGGGGUGAAAUCCUGGAGCUCAACUCCAGAACUGCCUUUGAUACUGAAGAUCUUGAGUCCGGGAGAGGUGAGUGGAACUGCGAGUGUAGAGGUGAAAUUCGUAGAUAUUCGCAAGAACACCAGUGGCGAAGGCGGCUCACUGGCCCGGUACUGACGCUGAGGCACGAAAGCGUGGGGAGCAAACAGG
rnacentral:rRNA from 1 species